GUGUCAGCAGCCGCGGUAAUACGUAGGUGGCAAGCGUUAUCCGGAAUUACUGGGCGUAAAGCGCACGCAGGUGGUUUGCUAAGAUUGACGUGAAAGCGCCUGGCUUAACUGGGCGAGGUCGUUGAUGACUGGCAGACUUGAGGCGAGGAGAGGGGUGUAGAAUUCCCGGUGUAGUGGUGGAAUGCGUAGAUAUCGGGAGGAAUACCAGUGGCGAAAGCGGCACCCUGGCCUUGGCCUGACGCUCAGGUGCGAAAGCGUGGGGAGCGAACGGGAUUAGAAACCCUCGUAGUCC
rnacentral:rRNA from 1 species